rnacentral:rRNA from 1 species
AUGGGAUUAGCUAGUAGGUGGGGUAACGGCUCACCUAGGCGACGAUCCCUAGCUGGUCUGAGAGGAUGACCAGCCACACUGGAACUGAGACACGGUCCAGACUCCUACGGGAGGCAGCAGUGGGGAAUAUUGCACAAUGGGCGCAAGCCUGAUGCAGCCAUGCCGCGUGUAUGAAGAAGGCCUUCGGGUUGUAAAGUACUUUCAGCGGGGAGGAAGGGAGUAAAGUUAAUACCUUUGCUCAUUGACGUUACCCGCAGAAGAAGCACCGGCUAACUCCGUGCCAGCAGCCGCGGUAAUACGGAGGGUGCAAGCGUUAAUCGGAAUUACUGGGCGUAAAGCGCACGCAGGCGGUUUGUUAAGUCAGAUGUGAAAUCCCCGGGCUCAACCUGGGAACUGCAUCUGAUACUGGCAAGCUUGAGUCUCGUAGAGGGGGGUAGAAUUCCAGGUGUAGCGGUGAAAUGCGUAGAGAUCUGGAGGAAUACCGGUGGCGAAGGCGGCCCCCUGGACGAAGACUGACGCUCAGGUGCGAAAGCGUGGGGAGCAAACAGGAUU